rnacentral:rRNA from 1 species
GACGAACGCUGGCGGCGUGCCUAACACAUGCAAGUUGAGCGACGAACCAGGGCUUGCCCUGGGGCAAAGCAGCGAACGGGUGAGUAACACGUGGGUAACCUACCCCGAUAACCGGGACAACCCGAGGAAACUCGGGCUAAUACCGGAUGUGCUCACUGGACUUCGGUUCAGUGCGUAAAGGAAGCUUCGGCCUCCGUAUCGGGAGGGGCCCGCGGCCCAUUAGUUUGUUGGUGAGGUAACGGCUCACCAAGACCGCGAUGGGUAGCUGGUCUGAGAGGACGAUCAGCCACACUGGGACUGAGACACGGCCCAGACUCCUACGGGAGGCAGCAGUGGGGAAUCUUGCGCAAUGCGCGAAAGCGUGACGCAGCAACGCCGCGUGGGGGAAGAAGGCCUUCGGGUGUAAACCCCUUUCAGGAGGGACGAAGGUUCGGCGGUGAAUAGCCGUCCGGACUGACGGCACCUCCACAAGAAGCCCCGGCUAACUACGUG